rnacentral:rRNA from 1 species
AUGGGGGCAACCCUGAUCCAGCAAUGCCGCGUGGGUGAUGAAGGCCUUCGGGUUGUAAAGCCCUUUCGGCGGGGAAGAUGAUGACGGUACCCGCAGAAGAAGCCCCGGCUAACUUCGUGCCAGCAGCCGCGGUAAUACGAAGGGGGCUAGCGUUGUUCGGAAUUACUGGGCGUAAAGGGCGCGUAGGCUGUGCUGCAAGUCAGGCGUGAAAGGCCCGGGCUCAACCUGGGAACUGCGCAUGAUACUGCGGCGCUUGAAGGCGGGAGAGGAUGGCGGAAUUCCCAGUGUAGAGGUGAAAUUCGUAGAUAUUGGGAAGAACACCGGUGGCGAAGGCGGCCAUCUGGCCCGUGAUUGACGCUGAGGCGCGAAAGCGUGGGGAGCAAACAGGAUUAGAUACCCUGGUAGUCCACGCUGUAAACGAUGAGUGCUAGACGUCGGGGAGCUUGCUCUUCGGUGUCGCCGCUAACGCAUUAAGCACUCCGCCUGGGGAGUAC